CUGAGUACCAUUGCAAAAUCUCCACUACAACAGAAAAGAUCAAGAAAGAGUCGAGGGACUGCAGCUCUUUGAAAGAAAAGAGAAAGAGAUCAGAAAACAACAGAAACACAGCAAACUGAAAAAUGGCACGUGCACCGAGCCUGUUCCAGGACGAUGACAGCCAGCCCGAGUACGACUUCAGUAACAAGUUGCAACAACUGACCCAGCACAGCCAGCCCGAGUACGACUUCAGGUAAAGACGAUGCUCGAUUUUUUCUUUUUCAUACGAUUACUAAACUAAGAAGCAGAAUGAGCCUUCCUCAAUUUCUAGAUUACCAGCAAGCAGAAGCAACUUUAUGAAUCAUUUAAUAAGAAAAUCAUUAACAUUAGAAAUC